CCGCUUGUCCUUGUCUCAUAGAUGAGGCAAAGUCUUCAGAAUCCUAGCUUUCUGUAGUUUAUUUCCAGCUCUCUGAAUGCCCUGGGUUCAUAAUCCAGACUCCUUUCUUUAUAUGAGCAUUAGAAUCAGCCAUGGAAAUUUAAACAUUGUUCUGUGUUUUAAUGACUUUCCUGGCCUUAGCUCAUACUCUUCACUUUGACUUUAAAUCCCUUCUUACUUUAUGGCCCUGAGGAGAUUUCCUUUAGAUGCUGAGUUUGACUCUUUAUAUCUAUUUGAAUUGUAUUGUGAGAGGAGAGUGCGUAAACUACCUCUCAACACCCUGGCUGAGACGUGGAGCCUGGUAGGAUAUAUCACAGAUCAAGAAUUCAGAAGGAGGAACCUGGGUCCUGGGGAGGGGGAGUCAGAGCUACCAUUUACUGCACAUUUAUUACAUGUCAUCCUCACAAUGCUUUCAGUAGGUCAUCUACUCUGCUGGGCUUUAUUAUCUGGAGACGUUACUUGCCCUUGGCCUUGUGGUGGCUCUUGGUCUUCUGGGGCAGCAGCAAGCCCUGGAUGUUGGGCAGGACACGUCCCUGGGAGAUGGUGACUUUGCCCAGCAGCUUAUUAAGCUCCUCGUCGUUGCGAAUGGCCAGAUGCAAGUGGCGCAGGAUGGUGCGGGUCUUCUUGUUGUCGAGGGCCGGGUUGCCAGCAAGCUACAGGAUCUUGGCGGUCAGGUACUCCAGCACGGCUGCCAGGUACACCUGCGCUCUGGCCCUGACCCGCUCGGCAUAGUUUCCCUUCCGGAGCGGACAGCGCUGGAGCCUCAGCCAGGGAAGACCAAGUCUGGGACUUCAGCACGAGCCUCGCCGCCCUGCUUCCCACAACCAGGUGUCCCCUGCGAAGUAGUGCCCUCUAAUGCCAAACCAAAAAGACUAUAUCCCUUACACACACACACACACACACACACCCCUUAAUGGCUAACUUCUCUGGAAGGUGCCUCAUUCAAGCAAAGCAGAACUGCAGAUACUUUUACAUGCCUUUUUCCACUAUUUUGUAUGCAAUCAGACUUUUUCCAGACUUUCUUUGAAUACAAAUAUCUGCAGGAUUUUCCUUAUCACCUGUAGACACUUUUUCCCUUUUCAAGGAAGCUAGAAACAGAUUUUGAUGUGCCUGAAGUUUUGAAGUGUUCUACAAUCUCUAGAAAGGGCUCCAAGAAAGCCAUGUGUAAUAUGCAUUUUUUUGUAUAAUUUGAGAAUAUUUGUUUCUUCUAUAGAGGGCAAGUAAAUGAAUUGGAUGUGAAUGUAUGAAAGUCAUAUGUUAUGUAUUCAUGGAAAUUAAUAAGUAUAUCAUACAUAGGUUGAGAAAUGGGAGGACAAAGAGAUACCUAUGUUCAUGAGGCCUGAAAUAAACAAGACACCUGGGCACAAGAUACUUACAAUAUACUAAAUAUACAGCUAACACUAAAUAUCCAGGGUACACCGAAGGUUAUACGAGCACCCAGUAUUUUCAAGGCCUUGAUUCAGCCACCUACUGAGGACACCCCUUCUGCCACCAUGUGUUCUCUGUUCAAGAAACACACUACUAUUCAGCCUUUAACAACAAGGAAGUCAUGCUAUUGGUGAAAACAUGGGAGAACCUAAGGAACAUUAGGGUAAGCAAAAAAAAAAAAGCAGGCACAAAAAUACAAACACAUAAUCUCACUUGUAUAUGGAAUCUAAGUAUAUCAAACUUAUAGAAGCAGAGAGGAGAACAGAGAUUACCAAAUGUUACGGGUUGGGGAAAUGUUGGUCAAAGCAUAUAAAAUUUUAGUUAGACAGGAGGAAUAAGUUUGGUUCAGGAGAUCUAUUGUAAAACAUGGUGACUGUAAUUAACACAAUGAUUGUAUACUUGAAAAUUGCUAUGAGAGUAGAUUUUAAAUGUUCUCACCACAAAAAGAUAUAUAUGUGAGGUAAUGGAUAAUUAUCUUGAUUUAGCUGUUCUACAGUGUAUACAUAUAUCAAAACAUCAUGUUGUAC
ensembl:lincRNA